rnacentral:tRNA from 1 species
GAGCCAGCGGUGCAAUGGGUAAUGCAGCCGAUUAUGGGAUCGGAAGACUGUAGGUUUAACUCCUGCCUGGCUCG